CGUAAUUUAAUUACAAAAUAAAUGUAACAGUAAUCAGUUACAGUUACUAAGAAAAAAUGAGUAAUUAAAUUACAGUUACUUAUGAAAAUUGUAACUUUUACAAAGAGGAUUACAUUUGAAUAUUUACACACAUCCACAUUCAGCUUAUUUCUUUCCCAAAUUGCACUAAGCAACCCGUUCUCAUCAGUCUGCGUAUAAAUAACACGACUUUACACUUUCUAUUUGCGUGUAAUGCAUACGCCAAAUGCCAUUUUUGCGUGCAUAUGAUACGCCAAUCCUUCCCAUUAAUUUCGGUGGAGAGCAGAUGCGUCCAAAUAACACGCAUCAUCUUCAGCGGCAGUGACGUCACCAGCGAGGCUCGUUCAGUUCACCUGAUGCGCGUACACCUUCAAACAGGUAAGCAAGGUUACGUCGGAUUACAUACUCCACAACAACCUGUAAUCCAGCAGAUCUUUAAAGAAGCCAUCUCUUGUAAAAUCUCUCUCUCUCUCUCUCUCUCUCUCUCUCGCUCUGCUAGAAUUAACAGGGAACUUCAACUCCACGCUCCCAAUGCUGAUAUUGAAGAAGCUGUCAAGGGGGCUGAACAAGUCCUUCAGAGGAUCAACCCUUCACAGGAAGGCCUGUCAUGAGAUUUGAAUUUGACCAUCUUGUGCAUUUAUGAAGAAGACCAAAAGCUGCCAAGGCAAACACUUCCAAUGGAUUUCUCACAGAUUACUUAAUCAUUCUUCAUCAGCUCUUCACAAUAUCAGCCCAUUCAAAAGCUUCCAGAUCUUCCUCUCUUGUGUGACACAUCUGCUCUCAGUCCUUUACUGCCAACCUCUACAUUCAUCACUCCAAUCUCUACUAUAAGCACUCCUGUAUAUAUAUAUAUAUAUAUAUAUAUAUAUAUAUAUAUAUAUAUAUAUAUAUAUA